rnacentral:rRNA from 1 species
GGACUUACACAAGCAGUGGAUCAUGUGGCUUAAUUCGACAACAAACGAGGAACCUUACCAAGAUUGGAAAUUCAUAGGAAACUCCGAUGAAAGUUGGAGCCUCCGCAAGGACCUAUGGACAGGUGCUGCAUGGUUGUCGUCAGCAGGUGCCGUGAGGCGCUCCCUUAGAUGGGGAAACCUGCGCAACCCUUACUUUAUGUUUUAAUUGUCAUAAAGGACUGCCCGGGACAACUGGGAGGAAGGUGAGGAUGACGCCAAAUCAGCAUGGCCCUUUGAUAUCUUGGGCUGCACACGUGAUACAAUGGGUGGUACAGCGAGUUGCCAAACCGCAAGGUGGAGCUAAUCUCUUAAAACCAUCCUCAGUACGGAUUGUGGGCUGAAACCCGCCCGCAUGAAGCUGGAAUUGCUAGUAAUCGCAUAUCAGCCACGGUGCGAUGAAUACGUCCCUGAGUCUU